GAUUAACGCUGGCGGCGUGCAUAACACAUGCAAGUCGAACGAUGAAACUUUACUGACUUCUUCGGAAUGAUUUAAAGCGGAUUAGUGGCGAACGGGUGAGUAACGCGUGAGUAACCUGCCUUACACAAGGGGAUAGCCUCUGGAAACGGAGAAUAAUACCCUAUGAAACCAGACAAUCGCAUGAUAAUCUGGUCAAACUGUUUAGUGGUGUAAGAUGGACUUGCGUCUGAUUAGCUAGUUGGUGAGAUAAAAGCUCACCAAGGCAACGAUCAGUAGCCGGCUUUGGAGAGUGUACCGCCCCCUUGGGACUGGCACACGUCCCAGACCCCUCCGGGAGGCAGCAGUGGGGAAUUUUGCACAAUGGGGGAAACACUGAUGCCGCGACGCCGCGUGAUUUAGAAGACCUUCAGGUUGUAAAAAUCUUUUGUAUAGGAAGAAAAUGACAGUACUAUACGAAUAAGGUCCGGCUAAUUACGUG
rnacentral:rRNA from 1 species